CGUCCAUAAACAUUGCCGUCAAGCAGUCAUGCAUAGUUUAUUUUCCUGAAGCACAACGAAAUCUUUCCAAAAAAAUAUGGUGCAAGUAGUAGUACGUUCCAAACCUGGACAUCUAAUAUACAUAUGAUCGCUGCAGUAUUAUUCAAAGUAACAUUGAAAUGUCAACAAAGGGAUUGAAAUGUUAUAAAUUAUAUCCUCCAUACGCUCGUAAGAGCGAUAGCUGUCUUCAAUCGUAUGUCCUAUAACAUUUACAUUUAUGUACAUAUGUAUAUAUGUAUAUCUCGACCGUUAUAUAGGUCGCUAACCAUAGCAACUGCAAUUUCAUCAAUUGUCGGCGAAAUAUAUUACCCCGCAUGCCUUCCAAA
rnacentral:sRNA from 1 species